ensembl:snRNA U1 U1 spliceosomal RNA
AUACUUACUUGGCAUGAUCACGAAGGUGGUUUUCCCAGGGUGAGGCUUAUCCAUUGCACUCCAGAUGUGCUGACCCCUGUUAUUUCCCCAAAUAUGAGAAACUCAACUGCAUAAUUUGUGGCAGUCAGCAAAUCUAUAAAGGCAGAAAGUAAACUAGUGGUUGUAGAUUUGCUGA